rnacentral:misc_RNA from 1 species
CUCUUCUUCUUUCUCUUGUUCUUUUUCUUUUUCUUUCUCUUUUUGAGGAACAGAACCAGUAGCAGCCUUACUGGUUUCCCCAGCUUCAGUACUUGAAAUACCCAGAUAAACUUUAAUUUUAAACAAUUCUUCCACAAUUUUAUACAUUAACAUCAAAGUGCCAUCAACUUUAGAAUCAAGAGCAUUCAUAAGAACAGUUUGAAAACCUCUAAAUUUCUGUAGCUCUCCAAAUUCAAUUUCAACAAAUUCCCUCAAGUUGUUCAUUUCUUCCAAAAUUCCUUCAACAUUAACAGUACCGCUUGCACUUUCCUUGGAACUAGCACCUUGUUCGAAUCUAAGUUUUCUACCAUCAUCAUCUUUUUGCAGACUUGUGAUUGGGAUCAUAUUUGUCCUAAGUUUCUCGGUUUUCAGAGGGAUCCCAAAGUCUCUAAACAGACCAUUAAGAAGAUGGGCAUAGGAUAGCUUGUAAGGUGGUUUCCAUUUCAUGAUUUGCUUCAGCAUAAAGUAGGCAAGAUUAAAUUCAAUCUGAUUCACAAUAUGCCAAAUUAUGCAGAGAUCAAGGGUACUUAAAUAGUUUGGACUGCCAGUUCUAGGGUUCAACACAUAGAUGAUAAAACUAUGAAGAAUUUUGAUGAGCAUGGAUAAUGCUAGUUUUAUCCUUUACUUUCC